rnacentral:rRNA from 1 species
AGAGUUUGAUCAUGGCUCAGGAUGAACGCUAGCUACAGGCUUAACACAUGCAAGUCGAGGGGCAGCAUGGUCUUAGCUUGCUAAGACCGAUGGCGACCGGCGCACGGGUGAGUAACGCGUAUCCAACCUGCCUUACACUCUUGGACAGCCUUCUGAAAGGGAGAUUAAUACAAGAUGUUAUCAUGAGUAAGCAUUUUCACAUGAUUAAAGGUUUACCGGUGUAAGAUGGGGAUGCGUUCCAUUAGAUAGUAGGCGGGGUAACGGCCCACCUAGUCUUCGAUGGAUAGGGGUUCUGAGAGGAACGGUCCCCACAUUGGAACUAGAGACACGGUACCAACUCCUACGGGAGGCA